ACCCGUGUUUGUCAGUGCUGUUACCCUGAGUCCUGCCUGGGGCUGGGCUGUAGAAAACAGAUGAUCCAUCAUCUCCUGCUUGUUUGUCCAGCUCUGCUGACUGCAGUGAAAUGCUUUUGUUUUGCCAGGGAAGCCGGAGUGUUUCAUGCACAGGCCAAUCCCACGACCCCUGAGGAUGUCGGCACUGAUGGGAAUGCAUUGCAGCCCUCCCCAGCUGCAGUCCCCACAGGAGCACUCCCUGUGCACCUCAGAGGCAGGUACAGGUGUGACCAUGCCCAUGAGAACUGGACCAGCACAUGGAUCCAUAGGCUGUGAGUUGCCAUUGGGGACUGGAAGUACCACAACACAGAGAGAACAGAGCCAACGCUGUAAAUCCCAUCCUGGUGGUCUGUUGUCACACCUUGCCCCUGGGAUGAGGGUCUGUGAGAGGAUGCUGGAGUCCUGAUCCUCGCACAGCAGUAACUGCACUGCAGGGCGUGCUGAGCCCUGGGAACUUGGGCUGGAAGGGCUCUUUGGGACUCUGUGCAGAGACACUUGCAAGGUAAGGGCGCUUUGCAGAGGGCUCUGGAAGCAGUGGGUGGGUGUGCACUGACCUCAGGCACAGUAAGGCAGAAAGUUGGAGUUUCUAACAGGCAGUAUAGAGAAGCAGCUGUACGCGUUGGAGUCGGUCACAGCACCACUUAUUUGUCUGCAUCUCAGUGCUGAGGGUUAAUGGGGAUGAGGAUGUGUCAGCCCUAUG